rnacentral:lncRNA from 1 species
UAUUCUGUAUUUUAUAUACGUAUACCUUUAUCAAGUUAUAAAUGUGUGUGUUUGUUCACCUCCCGAGUAGCUACGACCACAGGUGUGCACCACCAUACCCAGCGAAUUUUUAUUUUUAUUUUUUUUGGACAGUUGAAGUCUCACUAUAUUGCCCAGGCUGGACUGAAACUCCUGGGCUCAAGUGAUCAUCUCACCUUGGCCUCCCAAAGUGCUGAGAUUAUAGGCAUGUACCACUGUGCCCAGCCUUCAUGUCAAUUUAAAAUUGCAAAUCUCCCUGGAGGUUGUGGUCAAACCCUCUUGGGGAGACCAACUGAACAUUUGCAGAGGAUACACAAACUACUCCGUUAAUGCAGAGUUGUGUUGGUCUACUCUCAGUGUAUAGUCUCCCCUCUAUAAAUGGCACUGUCCCAGGGGAAAGCCGAAGUGCUAAGGGUAAUAUAUUCUAACUUCUUUAACAUCCUUAUCCGGCUUUCUACUUUUCAUAAGUUUUGGUAAUUGGAUCUUUUUCAUCUUCUUUUAAUGUUGUUACUCAGGAUUUCAGACAUGAGACUGUAAAGCAGAAAUGAAGAUAACUAUAGUGAACAUUUUUAACUAGAGUUUAAUGUAAGCAUGAUAAAAUGGAAAAGAUUUAAGUUUUCUUAGACUGUCUCUACCACCACUUGCUGUAUGACCUUGAGCAUAUUACAAACCUCUUGAGCCUCAGUUUUAUCAUCUCUAAAAUGGAUUAAAUGAAAUCAGCCAAGCUUUAACCCAUUUUAGAGACCAUAGUGUUACAUUUCCUCUCUGUUAGCAGUAUCAUAACUCAGGACUGGCUCAUUUUCAUUUCAGGACCAUUGUAGCACUGGUAUACAAUGUGCUGAAAACCCUAAUGGAAAUGAAUGGCAAGCUUUUCGAUGACCUUACUAGCUCAUACAAAGCUGAAAGACAGAGGUAUUUGAUAUUUUGAAUUACAAAAUUAUCUAUACAUUUUAUGUUAGUUGAAUGUGAUUCAGUUCAGGAAGGUAUCUUCUCUCAGUUCAGAUUUUCAUAUUUAAGAAGUUAAUUACCUUAUAGUAAACAUUACAAUGUGAAAGUCUCUUAACAUAUAAGUCAUUUCCAGAUAAACUAGCCCCAGUAUUUUUAUAAAUUUGUUAAAGCAGAAAAAGCAGUAGCAUUUAUUUUUGAGGGUAGUUACAUAAUUUACUUCCUCUAAAUGGUUAGAUUAUGAUUUUAAUGUGGAUCAUAAAUCCUGUUUAUCUCAUUCUGAGCCUUAGAUUUCCUCAGUCUGUUAGCAUCUGCAUAUGAAAUAUAAUUUAUGCUGAAUUUUAAAUAUCAAUUUGUACAAUUUGAUUUUUUAUCCAUGCAUUUACGAAAAUCCUUUUUGUCCACGUGGGCUUCCAGAGUGAGCUUUACUUUUCAAGUGUUCUUUGUUAGCAGUAGGUAAUUCUUACGCUGUGGAUUAUCAGAAGGUGGUAUUUUAAAGUCAGCAUAGUUCUCCUUUGGGAAGAGGGAAGUCACAUAAUGAUAUGGCUUAGGGUACUAUUAAUAUGUUGUCCUUGCAAUAAUAUGUAUUUUAGAGUAUAAAUGUUAGCACGUAUCAGCCUUUAGGAACAUGGCCUAGUGAUUACCUCUUUUUGAGAAUUUCAUAAAUUACUAUAAAAUAAUCUUUCAAGAGUUACUUUCUUCUCAUAUGUUUAUUUCAAACUCAAGAAGCACUUUCUUAAACUUAAGUGGUUAGUAACCAGUGUACCUGAGCCCACCCAUUAUUUGAGGAUAACAGUUACCAUUUACUUCUAAUAAGCAUAUUACCUGUUCUGUUUAGAAAAGCUAUCUAUUUUGACAAGUUCCUAGUUAUGGUUAUCUUAAAGUAGAAAAUGGAUAGCCUUUCUUCAAAGCCAUCCAGCCCAUUAAUAACUAACUCAAUGCAUUAUUUCCUUUAAAUAGCAGCAUUCAGGCAGGAAUAGAAAUUAAGUACAUGUUUUGAGCCUCAGGAAGCAAUGGGAAGAAAAUAAGAUGACUAGGAUCAUAGGAAACUUGUAUUUGAAAAAUAUGUAUUUCACAUGACUAAGAAUAUACUCAUCAUUUCUUACCUGCAUAAAUCAGCAAAUCCUUUAAAAGGAUUUGUCCUUUUAACUCAUAACUGCAGAAUUAUAAGCCUAUGUUUUACAUGUUCAUGGAGCCUUUCAGAAUAGACAGGUUCAAGUUACUCAGAAAUGUUUUCCUUAGAACUGAAAUUAAUUAGUUGAAACGACAUAUGAAAUAUUUUGACCUUCAUUUUGUUCUAGAGAAAGAUUACUGAAACUAAAGUUUUCAUUUGACAUGUAAAAGAGGAGCUAGUAAGAUACAAACUGGUUAGUGGCUAGAGAUGUGGCUGUUAGUGGCAAAAAUGAUGUGGCUUCUGUCUGGUGUGGUGAAGGAAGUGCUUCCUACUGACCUAGUGGCCAGCCCCUUCAGCCUUUGUAAUACUGAUUAGACUACUACAACUGCAAGAUGUUUACGUGAGAAAAUUGACGUGUAAGUACUUUGUUGACUAUAAAGUACAGUGUCAUGGUAGUGAUAAUGUGUAGGGGACAGAAAGCAAGUAGUAACGUCUAGCUGGUACAGGAGAUGCACAGACUCAGUACAUUUAGGAGAGUGACAAGAAGAAAUUAGGUGCUCCAGGUAAGUGGACUCCAAAGCUUUAGCAGAGGGAUUUAAGUGAAAUGUGGGUAAGUAAUGUGUUCUCCAGUAAGCUGUCAAACAGCACCUCUCUUUGGGUUCUGAAAUAAUUUCUGAUUACAAAAAUUUUGGUUUAUCUACAGAGAGAAAAAGAAGGAAUUGGAACGUGAAGAAUUAUGGAAAAAAUUAGAGGAGCUAAAGCUAAAGAAAGCUCUAGAAAAACAGAAUAGUGCUUACAACAUGCACAGUAUUCUCAGCAAUACAAGUGCCGAAUAAAAAAAAAGCCUCCCACCUCUGCCGGAUAGGCAGAGUUUUGUAUGCUUUUUUGAAAUAUGUAAAAAUUACAAAACAAACCUCAUCAGUAUAAUAUAAUUAAAAGGCCAAUUUUUUCUGGCAACUGUAAAUGGAAAAAUAUAUGGACUAAACGUAGCCCUGUGCUGUAUCAUGGCCAUAGUAUAUUGUAACCUUUGUCUAAUCAUUGGAUUUAUUGUGUCACUUCUGAAGUUUCACAGAAAUGAAUGAAUUUUAUCAUCUAUGAUAUGAGUGAGAUAAUUAUGGGAGUGGUAAGAAUUAUGACUUGAAUUCUUCUUUGAUUGUGUUGCACAUAGAUAUGGUAGUCUGCUCUGUAUAUUUUUCCCUUUUAUAAUGUGCUUUUCACACUGCUGCAAACCUUAGUUACAUCCUAGGAAAAAAUACUUCCUAAAAUAAAACUAAGGUAUCAUCCUUACCCUUCUCUUUGUCUCACCCAGAAAUAUGAUGGGGGGAAUUACCUGCCCUAACCCCUCCCUCAAUAAAUACAUUACUGUACUCUGGAAUUUAGGCAAAACCUUAAAUCUCCAGGCUUUUUAAAGCACAAAAUAUAAAUAAAAGCUGGGAAAGUAAAC